AGGAUGAACGCUGGCGGCGUGCCUAAUACAUGCAAGUCGAGCGGUAAGGCCCUUCGGGGUACACGAGCGGCGGACGGCUGAGUAACGCGUAGGAACGUACCCCAAACUGAGGGAUAACUGCCCGAAAGGGUAGCUAAUACCGCAUAUGGUCUUCGGAUUAAAGCUUCGGCGGUUUGGGAACGGCCUGCGUAUGAUUAGCUUGUUGGUGAGGUAAAAGCUCACCAAGGCGACGAUCAUUAGCUGGUCUGAGAGGAUGAUCAGCCAGACUGGGACUGAGACACGGCCCAGACUCCUACGGGAGGCAGCAGUAGGGAAUUUUCCACAAUGGGCGAAAGCCUGAUGGAGCAACGCCGCGUGCAGGAUGAAGGCCUUCGGGUUGUAAACUGCUUUUAUUGGUGAAGAUUAUGACGGUAGCCGAUGAAUAAGGGUCUGCUAACUACGCGCCAGCAGCCGC
rnacentral:rRNA from 1 species